ACACAGACUUCAAAUAUCUUUGGGAAUUUGUGCUCCUUAUUUACUGAGUGCUUGAGAAGAAAAGACAAAGCCAGUGGAAUGGUCCGAGUGUGGCAUCCGCUGCAUUUAUAAAGAAUAAGAGCUGCAGUGGGUGUGAUUCUUGGACAGAGUGGCGCUCAUCCUUGUUCCUGCAAUGAAGGACAUGCCAGCCUCCAGGCUCUUUGACAGAUGAUUGGAACUGUGCAAAUAUUAUGGAAGAUACCCCGUGUCAAGAAGCUGACAGCACACACGUUUGGGAAGGAUUUAGUGGCUGAAGCACUUCUAGAAGACAUCACCAAAAUGAAACAGUCUACUAUCAGCAAAGAAUGCCAGAGCAAGAGUGUGAAACAGAGAGCACAGAGCCGUGAUGCUGCCCCCUGCCGGUGGUGCAGGAGAAAGGACGCAACCUCAGUCUACGACUCCUGCCAAGAUUAUCAGCCACGCUAGAAACUAAAGGGUGAAAACAGGGUUUCUCUGCUGCAAUUCCAUCUCUUCCUCUAGAAACUUGUCGUAGGAAUGACUCCCUGUAACUUCCCACACCUGCCUCUUCUUUCUGUAAGUGUUGGCUAACAGAAUCCCCUCCUUCCUCGGUCCUUGCUAAGUGACUGAAUUCAGAAACUCCUGGACAAUAUUACAACCAUCCGUAUUACUGGUCUUUGGCGCUCUAGACUUAUUUUAGAAAGAAAAAUGUGGCAAAUCAUCCAAGAAUUUUCCUGUGCACAGCAUAGGGAUCUGUUUCUCUUACCAUCAGAAAGGGAUUCAUAGUCAUAAUCAUAUUCGUCCUCCUCAUCUUCCUCUUCCUCAUUAUUGGCAGGUCGGGGGUUGGCAUUCCCACCAUUAUAAGCCUGCACUUGCAUAGAUGCUAACUGAUGAGCCUGUAAAAUAGCAAUAAUUGUAAACUGCAGAUGCCAAGUUAAUGAAUUCAUUUAUAACCUUUAAAACUACCCCUGAUGUUUAACACAAUCGUUAAAAGUGGCUUAACCUAUUUUGAUACAUUUGGGAGAGGAGAAAAAAAUCUAGAUUCCCUCGAAAUGCAAUGUCAACACUUGGGUGAACGUUAGCAUUCCUACAGGAAGAAUCCUGGAGCUUUUAUAAACAAUCUCCAGAAGACUGUGUGCAGUGCCCAGCUAGCCAGGUUCCCAGGACAACCCCUCCAAGAGAAAGCUUUGGUGAUUUGGAGAACCAGCAUCAAUCCCAAGUGACUGAAGAAGUGAAUCACCCAUCAAUUUUUCAGAAGUAUGUCUCUGUUAAGAAACCAUUUUUUCCCCUUCUUAAAAUAAUAUCUACAGGCUCCUGACCUUGAGAACAAUAUUAGAAUCCCUAUGGACAAAGAGGCCAAAAGAAUUGUUGUUGGUUUAAAUAAAAUUGUUUUCAAACGGCUUUCUGAACCAUAAAUCAGAUUAACAAAACAGGCCUAGAAACUUUAGGAAACUUGAUGUGUGCAGCCAGGGAGGUCACAUACUCCGUGUUUACUGGAAUUACUGUGAAGUGAUAAGCAUCAGUACAGGUCUGGGAACCUACCUAGCUUAAGAAAAUCAUCUGAAAUAUAGGAAACGUUACUUGCAUGAACUAAAUGCAGGAAACAAUCUAAACGGGGUAGAGGAACGGGGUCAGUAAGCAAUGGUUGUCUGCUGGAGAGAAUGAGAUAUGAAAAAAUAAUUGAUAUAUAUUUAUUGAACAAAGGAAGUGAACAAAUUCUUUUAUUCAAUAUUUAUGCAUUGAAUAUACUAUAUAGAUUAUAUAUACACACAUAUAUAAUUCUGCAUGUGUAUGUGUGCAUACAUGUGUGCUAAUAUAUACUAUAUAUAAUGUAUGUGUGUGCAUACAGAUAAUAGCUAUACAUGUAAAUAUAUACACUAUAUAAAUAUACAUAUAAUUCUGUAUUUGUUUUAUAUAUUUAAAGUGCAAUUAUAUAAAAUGACAGUCACGAAGUCCUAGAUAUUAAAUGUUAAUAUGGCAGGGGUUCUUCACUUGUU
ensembl:lncRNA PLCE1-AS1 PLCE1 antisense RNA 1